rnacentral:rRNA from 1 species
AACGUAGGACGCAAGCGUUAUCUGGAGUUACUGGGCGUAAAGCGCGGGCAGGCGGUUCUGCCAGUCUGAUGUGAAAUCUCUCAGCUCAACUGGGAGCAGCCAUUGGAAACUACAGAACUGGAGUCUGACAGAGGUAGGCGGAAUUCCGGGUGGAGUGGUGAAAUGCGUAGAGAUCCGGAGGAACACCAGAGGCGAAGGCGGCCUACUGGGUCAGUACUGACGCUGAGCCGCGAAAGCCAGGGGAGCGAACGGG